rnacentral:rRNA from 1 species
UACGUAGGGGGCAAGCGUUGUCCGGAUUUAUUGGGCGUAAAGAGCGUGUAGGCGGCCCGAUAAGUCCGCUGUGAAAGUCCAGGGCUCAACCCUGGGAUGCCGGUGGAUACUGUCGGGCUCGAGUCCGGAAGAGGAGUGUGGAAUUCCUGGUGUAGCGGUGAAAUGCGCAGAUAUCAGGAAGAACACCAAUGGCGAAGGCAGCUCUCUGGACGGUGACUGACGCUGAGACGCGAAAGCGUGGGGAGCAAACAGG